UGGAUAGUACCCUUACUUCCUGGGAUAACCCGUGGUAAUUCUAGAGCUUAAUACAUGCUAAAAACCCCGGACUUCGGGAGGGGUGUAUUUAUUAGAUAAAAAACCAAUGCCCUUCGGGGCUCCUUGGUGAUUCAUGAUAACUUCUCAGAUCGCAUGGCUUUACGCCGGCGACGGUUCAUUCAAAUUUCUGCCCUAUCAACUUUCGAUGGUAAGGUAGUGGCUUACCAUGGUUUCAACGGGUAACGGGGAAUUAGGGUUCGAUUCCGGAGAGGGAGCCGGAGGAACGGCUACCACAUCCAAGGAAGGCAGCAGGCGCGCAAAUUACCCAAUUCCGAUACGGAGAGGUAGUGACAAUAAAUACUGAUACAGGGCUCUUUUGGGUCUUGUAAUUGGAAUGAGUACAAUUUAAACCUCUUAACGAGGAACAAUUGGAGGGCAAGUCUGGUGCCAGCAGCCGCGGUAAUUCCAGCUCCAAUAGCGUAUAUUAAAGUUGUUGCAGUUAAAAAGCUCGUAGUUGAACCUUUGGCCUGGCUGGCAGGUCCGCCUCACCGCGUGCACUUGUCCGGCCGGGCCUUUUCUUCUGGAGAACCGCAUGCCCUUCACUGGGUGUGUUGGGGACCAGGACUUUUACUUUGAAAAAAUUAGAGUGUUCAAAGCAGGCCUUUGCUCGAAUACGUUAGCAUGGAAUAAUAGAAUAGGACGUGCGGUCCUAUUUUGUUGGUUUCUAGGACCGCCGUAAUGAUUAAUAGGGACAGUCGGGGGCAUCAGUAUUCAAUUGUCAGAGGUGAAAUUCUUGGAUUUAUUGAAGACUAACUACUGCGAAAGCAUUUGCCAAGGAUGUUUUCAUUAAUCAGUGAACGAAAGUUAGGGGAUCGAAGACGAUCAGAUACCGUCGUAGUCUUAACCAUAAACUAUGCCGACUAGGGAUCGG
rnacentral:rRNA from 1 species